GUUUUAGUUUUACAUAAUAAUGAUGUUUUGCACAGUUUCUUCUGCUCUCAACAAGUAUUGGAGGUGGUGCAGCGUCCACAUCCCGAAAUGUUCCUGACAUCACUGAAGAUGGAAUCUAAGCUGCAGAAGAAACUCCUGUCACCACAUCUUCUGUAGAAAGAGAAAAUGUUGAUGCUGCCGCUGAGGCUCCAAGAGAGGCGUGUAUGGAAGAGGAGCCUACUGGAUCCAAAAUUCCACCAACCUCAAAUCCUAUUGGUCCAGCUGAAUGGCCAACCACACUCUCUGAUCCA